rnacentral:snRNA from 1 species
GGAUGUGAGGGUGAUCUGGUUGUGACAUCCGUCAUCCCACUGAUUGCCAGAAUUGAUUUGGCUGAGCUGGCUGGCUAGGUGGGUGUCCUCUUCCUCCCUCACCACUCCAUGUACAACCUUCCUGAAGAGGAUGACCUUCCCCAAACAGAGAUAGUAGCUGCACUCCCUUGCUAGAACCUUCAAAUCAGCUCUCAAGAAUGAUCCUAGUCUGUUGUAUCAUCUUAGGUUCUUCCAUAAUCAUUAGUUUUCACAUCUGAUGAUCCCUUU